UGCUGUUCCAAUGCCUGCGGGAGACGGGCGUGAGUUUCGCGGGCUCUGCACUCUACCGCGUCGGCGGUUUUGGGGUAUCGCCGUUUUUUAGGCGGUACCUCGAAACAGGGCAAAGGGGAGGGGUUGACUUUACUGGCAUUACUAAUUGUAAAAACGGGGCCCUUUUACGUCCGAAGGCAAAACCCUCAAAGCACCCCCGAGCGGCGUGUUUGAGUGGAUGCAGUACCAGCCCUGCCCAGCCCGGCGCUGUUCCUCCUACCUGUAGGCACACCUGUGCUCUAAGCGCAGGUGCGUCGUAGACUGACCACGCCCCUUCCAAGGUGACACGCCCCGGUGGCCACGCCCCGCACAGGUAGAUCGGAAAGAUGGCGGCCGGGGUAGCACGGAACACGAGAGGAUUGGGCACUCUCUCUGCGGCGCAGUGCUGACUCGACACACGCAUGUCAUGUAUCGUUCCUGUAAACCCUCUGCCAGCGCUUGGAGUCUCGGGACAGCAGAUCGGUUCACAAGCCAGCCGUGCCCCAAAUUCUGGUUUUUUACU